GAUGAACGCUGGCGGCGUGCCUAAUACAUGCAAGUCGAGCGAACAGACGAGGAGCUUGCUCCUCUGACGUUAGCGGCGGACGGGUGAGUAACACGUGGAUAACCUACCUAUAAGACUGGGAUAACUUCGGGAAACCGGAGCUAAUACCGGAUAAUAUAUUGAACCGCAUGGUUCAAUAGUGAAAGACGGUUUUGCUGUCACUUAUAGAUGGAUCCGCGCCGCAUUAGCUAGUUGGUAAGGUAACGGCUUACCAAGGCAACGAUGCGUAGCCGACCUGAGAGGGUGAUCGGCCACACUGGAGCUGAGACACGGACCAGACUCCUACGGGAGGCAGCAGUAGGGAAUCUUCCGCAAUGGGCGAAAGCCUGACGGAGCAACGCCGCGUGAGUGAUGAAGGUCUUCGGAUCGUAAAACUCUGUUAUUAGGUAAGAACAAAUGUGUAAGUAACUAUGCACGUCUUGACGGUACCUAAUCAGAAAGCCACGGCUAACUACGUG
rnacentral:rRNA from 1 species